CCGCAUUCUCAAGCCUCCGGUUCAUGUCGGCUCGGCUGGAUUCGUCCCUCCGAAUGACCACCGAGUUACUGAAUGCGCUCGGAUUCGUGCGCAAGCAUGUCGAGAUCGCAGCUCCUCCUCCUCCUCUGCUGCUCAGUCACUCGGUUUUCGCAGAUGCCAGAUUGAUCGGUUCUUGGUCAGUAGGGGGCCUUCUUUAGGUUGAGUUUGAUGUCUAGAUAUGGGGCGGGGGUGGAGAAUUUGAUGAUUGAUGAGGAAGUCUGAAUAACUUAUUCGAGGGAUGUGUACCUGGUGGAGCAGUCGAGUUGAAGUGGAGGGAUGAUUAAGCUGUCGGGAUCGUGCUUGUUGAUUGAGACGCCGUAUUUUUUUAAUCGUGUUCAUCGUGUUUGCUUCGUCUAUUUGAUAUUGGAGACAUGAUUCUGUAAUAGAAUGAAUCGCAUCGAAUUGUUUCAUCAAGUCAAGUUGCUUAAUGUUCUUCAAUGUUGGUUCUGGGUUGAAUUAGUUUGCUGAUACAAAACGGAGCUGCAUUUCUCUUGGCA